CUUCUCCAACCAUAUACUCACAUAGUCAAGCAGCUAUAAAAUGUAGAAAUGCGACUUACAAGGUAACUGCAAGGCAGAGAACCACCAUGUCUGACGUCAAAACUUUCCACGAUGCGGGAAAAACAUGGCUUAAAUUACAAAAAGGCAAAUAAAAAACGGUCGGUAGAAGCCACGUGUGGGACCACCCGACAAAUCUGGCCCAGCUUCGAGGAGAAAAUAUCCAACACACUCAUUCUAAGGCAAGUGCGGCCACAUAACUUCGGUAUCAUAACUUGGACCUACUUAAUGGGCAGGCACGCUAGCAGAAUGGGUUUGCCGGUAAAUAAUUUCUGCCAAAGCUGCCGCGACGAGGAAGAAAUUGAGGGAGUGGAAUACUACCUCUGUCACUGCACUGCCUUUUCGUGGGCGAUAAGACGCCCAUUGCACCACCACCUCUUUGUAUAAACCUUUACGAGAACGGAUGGGAUCGACUACGAACUCUCAAUUGGUAUCACGACGUUACCACUGGACCUAAGUGCGCCUAUCUGCAAAAUUGGAGAUGUGCUGAGUCGAUAUAUUUUAGUAUUGAUCGAUACUCGGUACUGAUUUAAAAAGUAUCCACAACUUUCGACACUCGGUACCAAAAUAUUGGAAUUUCUAAUAAAUGUCCGAAAUCGCCAAAAAAAUAUGGAAUAAAAGCUGUUUAGGGGAGCCUCGGCUAUGAAAAAGCUCUCUUAGCCAACUCAUGCACAGCACUAUUUCUUGCAAUAUAUGUAACUAUGGCGUGGUCUACUAACAAGGAUGUAAUCAGACGCAGCUGAAAGAAAAAGAUAGAAAGAAGCACACCUUGACCGAGCCCCAGAACCUGAUAGUUGCUGGGCUAACCGAAUAGAUGUCCAAUCGGAAAACAUUACGGUGAUCUGCAAGAACAAUUUCGGGCAAACGAAUACAUAUUUGGGUUGUCUGUUUGUCUAAAUCUUAGUAAAACUUUUUUUAAGUAUCGGCAACUACGUCACCCACAUAAUAUAUAUUUUUUUGUUUUUUCAGCCAUAAUAUUGGUUCAGGUGAGUGUGAGUUGAUAACGAUUUCUAUGUCUGACAGAUAUAAUUCUAAGUACUUAUGAACUCAUACGUAUGUAUGUAUGUACAUAGGCAAUCGAAUCCGAAUAAAAACCACACCAUACGAAUAGCCGCAUAGACGAUGACAAAAAAUAGCAAAAUUAGACGAUAAAUACGACUAUGAAAUGUAGACAAAAACAUAAAUAGGCACAAGCGGAAAUUAUGAAAAGGUGAGUGCUGUAAAAAAAACAACAGCGUUGGGAAUUGAAGAAGGCCGAAGUGGACAAGAAAAAUUGGAAGCGAAAGGUAAAUAAAAACAAUUUAGAAAAAGUACUGAGGUGUUAACCAGAGAGAGAGCGAGAGAAAGAGAGAGAGAAAGAGACGAGCGACAGUGUGUGGGAACAAGAAUGAGAAAUAGUGCUAAAAGAGCAGGAAACAAAAAGUGAACGGAAGUAAUGGCGUAAUAAAAUGUGGCAAAAGCGCCAACAACCACACUCAAUAGAUGAGGAAGUGCGAACUACAAACAUUUGGUGGAGACAGUCACACAAAAAUAAAAUAGAAAACACGAAAUACGGCGAAUCCAAUAAAAGUGUCAUAAAAACAAGUUGCGCUCACGAAAGAGAGCUUGUUGCAGCUACAUAUGUAAGUACUUGGAUAGUGUGUGUGAGUAAUAAGUUUCGAAAACUUGAAUGUGAACGCAAAUAAAAAACCUAAAUCCCAUAAAAUAAAACGAAAAUAAAAUCGAGAUUAUCAACGAAGCAAGUGAACGACGGCAAUGGCGAUAGCGAUGAGGAUGACGACAACGACAACGACAACGACGACAAACAACCACCGACAACCACCAGCGCACCGUGUCAACAACACCAACGGAAAAAGCAACAAACACCAACCAAACAGCAGCAAUAGGAACAGCAACAGAGCAACGAAGCAUCAGAGUGCACCAGAGCACCAAAGCUUGGAGCAACUGCGUACAGCGAACAGACCAGCUAGUUCGGUUUUAGUGACUUGACCGCUUCAUCGAGGUGGUUGCUUUGCUCAGUAGCUGUAUGCCCGUCAGGCGCGUCGGUUGUAAACUUUUAGCAGACGGCCGCCAUUGUGGACGCCAUUUUCGAUGAACGUGAAGACGUGAAUACAUGCCUAGAUACGGCUUCAACGAGCAUAGGCGCAGCAAACGCUAAUAAACAUUAAAAAAAAAACCUUAAAAGUGUGUGAUAAGAUUAAAUGAAGACAGUGCAAGCAAAUACGAAAAUAAAUAAACAAUAAAAAAAAAUGUUAAAUUUUGUGGCGGCUAGUGUGUCUCGUCUACGUCUACAAACGUCUGGUGCGCGUACACUUGGGCUAUUUUCGGUUGCUUAAAACACUUGCAACGUAUAGCGAGUAGUUUGCGCGAUUAUUUCACAGCAAAAAAAAAAAAAACAAGAAACAGAAAACAAAAUUUUUGGCUGAAGAUUUCUUUUUGCGCUGGGUUUUCGGUCCGACACAACGACGCAAGCAACAACGUCUGUGCUGAAGAAUUAUUUACUCAGCAACAAUAAAAUUAUGCCAUAAAAGUACACAUAAACACUUAUAGAAAAAAAAUUCUUUAAAAAUAAAUUAAUUAGACUAAUAGUGAAACUGUCUGCGUUCCUGUUAAUCAAUCAUUCCUAAGCUCAAACAAAGCAAGUAAAAAUAAAAAUUAGGACACACAUACUUGCAUACCUAAUUAUCUACAAAUGUACACGGACAAUAUAACAAUACAAAAUAAAAAAGCAACAAGUUUCCAAAAAAAAA